CUUUAAACAAUAACGAUAGGCCUCAGGGUGUGUGGCAUUAUCAUUGCGCGAAGUGAAUCCACAGCUCUGUUUAGUCUCACUGUGGCAUUUUACUUUCAUCUGAGGGUGUAGACCAGAGUUAGAAAACAGGAAGUGGGGAUGAGUGUCUGCUGAUGUCAGAAAAGGAUGUGGUACUUGCACAAAUGCUGCAGUUGGAUCUUCCAGCAUCUUCCCCUCUAUCAUUGUCCAUAAUAGGUCAGCUGUGCAGUGGGAUUUGGUCACAGUCAUUCUCUAACACAUCAUUAACAGGCCAAAAAGAAGAGAGCAAGAGUCAGCUUCUGGUUUUACGUGUCGCUACUAAAGGCCUGUGGAAUUUGGACUUGUGGUACCAGUUGUUAAAAGUUGAGGCACUUGGAAAUGUGUCAAAUUUACAUAAAUAUUCAAAACUACAAGAAAACUUAGUAGCCCAGAAGUGAAUUAAGUUAAAAAUGUGUCUACAAUGUCCUUGAAGAGGUUUGGACAGUUGAUUCACAAUGAUAUGAGAGCAGUGUGUACAACUAUUUAAAGAAGUGGGAGAAUUAUGAGUUUUCUGGAGCUGAGGAAAGUGUAAGGGGUUGAAAAAAACAAAAUGGAAAGGAGGAAAACCAAACUCUGCUACUAUUGCUGCUUUUCCCUGAGGUACUGUCUGUUUGGACUCUUGAGAAUGUGAAAGCUCUGCUGGCCAGUGACCCUUUCCUUGCUGCCUCAAAUUCUGAUCGGUGUUUUGAGUUGGCCAUGGUGAUGUCGGUGUCGUGCUCCUUCAAGCUAAUUUGGAGAGGAAUUCAACAUUUGUCACUAAACUAUUAAGAAAAAGGCUGUAGCCCUGAUUCUUGCUCUGGGUCAUUUGGAUCUAUGUGUGUCCUCCAGUGAGCCCGUAGUCGUCUACACAGACCCUAACCUCAGGUCUCUCUUGGUGCGGUCGGGUCUCUUCCUGCAGGGAUUCAACCUCAACAUCCAACAUAUUUUAGGUAAGGACAACAUAAUUGCUGACACUCUGCCAAGGUUACGAGUAAAAGUGCAAAACUUCAUUUAUUUAUUUAUUCAUUUUUUGACUUAAAACAUGUAGUUUCUUUGAGUAAAAUUCGAUCACUUAAUUGAGCAAACUAUUAAUGAGAGGAGGUGUUAUGUGCAUAACUGUUUUUUUUUUUUUUUCUCUUCCAACCCUUGACUCAGCUCCAGAUUACUGACACCUGUGGGCUGCCCUACAAAACCUGUGUGUGGCUCCUCCUACUCGCUCUCUCAUACUGCAGCCAGGAUCAGCAGCAUAGCAGCAACCACUGAUUCCUUUUCUUUGUUUUUGUUGGUUGAUAUUGUUUUAGGAAAAGCUUUGUUUUGCUGAUUGAUGGCCUUUUGGACCCCUCUAUGUUGCUUCCCCUGAGGCAUGGUCGUAACAAUACAAGCAGAGUACAAAUCAGGACUGAAACGGACGAUGUGGCAAGAAUAGAGACCAGGCUCAAGUAGGCGUUAGCCAAUGCAUAUAAGUUUAACUUCUGUCAGGCACUGCAAACUUCUGCUAAAAGUGUAUUGUGUGGACAGGUUCAUCAACUCUUAAGCCACAAGGACACAUUCUGCGACAAACUGGAGGGUAAAAAGGCUUCGGCUCGGGGUACGCAGAGGAAACUGAAAGGUUUAAUACAUAUGCAAAUUGUAAAAAUCAUGUGCCGUCUCUGUAUCUCAACCCCUAAGGAGACAUUUUGUAUAAGAAAGCGCUCUCCAUCAGCUUCAUCAAAAUACCAAAUGAGUGUAAAUCUUUUGGAAGAAUAGCGUUCAGUCCCUUUGGUAGAACACCACGCCAAACAAAAGGAUAAGAGAUUUUUCAGAGACAUGCUAAACAAGUGCAAAGUAUGAAUUUACAUAAUGCCUGAUAUGAUUAAGUACCCACCGAGCAGAAUGUGUGAAAUGCUAAUACUGUAAUCUUUGCGAACCACACUCUCCAUUCAGACCCUACCUGUAAUCUCUGUGUCGUGUAUAUGUGCCGUGCCUGCAAACACGCCUCUGUGGGUGAUUGGAAUACAAUCGUAUUAUGUAAUAUGGGUGUCGUUGUGUUUGUUCAUGCAGGAAGGGCCCCCUAUUCUGAGUCACACUUUAGUCCGUCUCUCUGAUCCAUAAUCCUGUGAUUGAUCGUGGCACUUUAACCUAGAGGGUCCCGCUGUGUCCCGGAUCGACCUGCAGCCAUCUCCAUCAUAUUCACUUAAACGGAGAGAUCCUUCCGGUGUGAAAAAUGGAGGAAUGUCAGCAGGGAGAGAGAGGCAGCCCCUCUGCCACUGCGCCUCACACCGUGCACAGGAGUGGGUGGAAGCUGUAAUGGAUGAAAGAGGAAGGAAUUUAUUAAGCAGAGAUAGAUUACUGCUGAUGUGUUUCAGUCUCUUAUUCAGUUCAUCAGUGAAAGAGCUUCUCCAGCUGAAUUUUUCAUUUGAACCUUUUUUUCUACUUAAGUGGAAGAACAUACCUGUUUUAUUUAAUGUUUGUGUCUGUCUCCUACUGCUGCAGGAACAUCCUUUUCUUAAGAUUUUGUACGUUUUUAUCAGAUCUGCCAAAUGUUAUGAACCCUUUGAAAAGCAGAAAAUACCUCCUCCUCAAAGGACACAGAGUGAUCGGUAUGCUCGAAGGACAGUUUAAGGAAAGAAAUGUCUCUUGUCUUAAAUGUUGAGCAAAUAGUGAAUUGAAUACAAAUCUCUUUUUUGUACCAACUUAUGUUUUAUUUAUUCUUUAUUUUCCCACUUUUUGGCAGCUUUAAACUAUCUUCCUGUAUUAUAAAAACUUUUUCACUCCCUUGGACUCGUGGCUGGGGUCAUCUUAAGUUUUUAUGCCCGUGUGUUAAAUUGUAAUAGUCAUCCAUCUCUUUUUACAGUUUUUUUUUCUUAAAAAUCUUCCAUUUUAGUGUUAAUACCGCGCCCAGCCUUAUCUCCUACCCCUAUUGUAAGACAGUACUCUCUGUCAGCCACCAUAGGCUGUUUCAAUAUAAUAUAUUAGGGUUGAGUCGAGCUUUACGAAAGAUUGGGGAAUAAUAUAUUCAAUAACUCUCUCUACUGAUCUCAUUAUGCUGAAUCCUUUGUCAAAAUUUCUUUCUGGGUCAGUUUUUGCAGACGCUGAUGAAGCUGGGCUCGUGUUCAGAAGCUUCCUCAACUCAGUGUUUCACUGCUGGAGAGUUGAAGGCAUGAAUUUUGUCAUUAAAGGUGACCCAGAGCCUGGCAGGAUACAACUGGCCCCCUUCAAAUCCCAGUGGUUCAGAUACUACUUUUGAUUCUCAAAAGACUUGGGUGCCCUUGAAAAGAAGUGCUUCUUUGUCAGGCAAACCUAGCAUUUUCCUCCUGGCUGCUGAAAUGCGUCCUCCACCACCGACCUGCCUGGCACCACGGGGGGAGUUUAAAGAGAUUCACAAAACCUUUUCAAUCAUCUAGCUUCCACUGAAGUUGUUCAGCCAAGAGUCUUGGUCAAAAGGGUUGGCAGGUCCUGGUGCUUCAUAGUCUUUGAUUAGCAUUCAAGGGAGAGUAUGAAUCCCCCCCUGAAACAGCAGCAGUGGUCAAACCCUUGAAAGAAGCUUUCUUAGGUACCCUUCUAGCUGUGUGGAUAAGAACUGCUGCUGAAACAACAAGAGGCGAGCGUGGCUUUAUACCAACAGAUUCUCUUCAUUUCACACAGAGGUGCUGAGAUUGGGAUGAGGGACUCUUGAUUUCAAUCAUCCUGAAUCAAAUACAGCCCACCAGUGACGAGUCUGGACUGCGAGCAAACCAGUUUAGUACCCGGACUCCGACUACAAACAACAGAGCAGCUUUAAAGGCUCAUUUAUGCUCACAUGGAAAUGUACGCGUCUGUUUCAAACGAUGGUUCCGUCACUGC